UGAGGAAUAUUGGGCAAUGGAGGCAACUCUGACCCAGCCAUGCCGCGUGCAGGAAGACGGCCCUAUGGGUUGUAAACUGCUUUUAUACAGGAAGAACACCACCCACGUGUGGGUGACUGACGGUACUGUAAGAAUAAGGACCGGCUAACUCCGUGCCAGCAGCCGCGGUAAUACGGAGGGUCCAAGCGUUAUCCGGAAUCAUUGGGUUUAAAGGGUCCGUAGGCGGGCUAAUAAGUCAGAGGUGAAAGUUUGCAGCUCAACUGUAAAAUUGCCUUUGAUACUGUUAGUCUUGAGUUAUAGUGAAGUGGUUAGAAUAAGUGGUGUAGCGGUGAAAUGCAUAGAUAUCACUU
rnacentral:rRNA from 1 species